ACAGAAAUGUACAUAUGCGUAAUUGGCGACUAGCUCCCCGUUCUUAGUGCUCGUUAUCUCUCUCGCAGAGGGGUACGCAUUCGCGAUUCGUGUGUGUACCGGUGCUUUCUGAGAAGUGUGUGUCUCUGAGGAAGAUCCUAAUAAUCUGUGGACGAGAGUCAAAUGGUUCUGAGAGGAAGAGGAGGCCUGGGAUGGCAUCGAAAGACAGUGGAGCAACCUUAGAGUGA